ACUGCCCCCUCCUUUCUCCUUUCUCCUUCUCCUGAUUCCUACACUCUGCACUCUCUCUCUUUCUCUCUCGCAAAACACUCCGCACGCCCCUCUUCCCACCUCUUCCUCCUCCUCCUCCUCCUUUCUCUCCGUCGGUCUCAGCGCCACACCGCCGUCGCCUUCCAGGUACCAGGUUUUGUGUGGCAACCAACGAACGAGCUCGAUCUCAUUGAUUAGGUAAACAUAACUGUCAAGCUACUGCCAUUUUCACCGAUGCUCAUAUCGAGCAGAAGAAAGUGUCCAAUGCCAUUUGGCUUUUGAUCUCUCUGCUCAGUACGACGCCAUUCCCACUCCAGUCAAGUUGAUUCGCUGAAAUGUCUCAGUUCCGCUUUCCGCAUUUGUGGGUACUAUGCAUAGUUGGCCUCCGAGUUGUUUGAUUAAAUGCCUCAAAGAAGUAUAUGGGAAAUUGGGAAUCAUAUUGGACUACUGCAACCUGCAAAGGUUCUAAUAAAAGGACCUUCAAGUUAGGUCAGGUGACGCACUCAACUGCUUCAGUGAUUGUUAGCAGACUCACUGAUGAAGUGAAGACUUGGAAACUGAGACGCAUAGAAUAAGUGAGACAAAUUCAGGAACUCCUCAUCCAGCUGAAUAUGUCAGUGCAAGGAGUCCAGCUGUUUCUGGUAGUAGGAGCUGAAAAGGUUCAUAAUGCAGUAGGAAGUCUGGAAGUGUUCCGUUGAUAUGCAGUGUUUUAAAUAUAGUUAUGCCAGAACGGAUUGCGCCUUAUAUGCAAUGAAAUGUGUUCUGAAAAUUGUUGGUGGUGUUGGUGUAAACCAUUUUUAUUUAUUUUUAAACAGAUGUUGCACUUUUGAGUAAAUAGGGGACAGUCAUCGAGCAAAUUCCACUUGUAUUCUGUAUAUGCAGAUGUAAUGAAAAUUUUUGUGAAAAUCAGUUAUCGUUGUAAAGAUUUUGUGUUUCGGAUUUUGAAUAAUCUAGUAUUGUAA